rnacentral:snRNA from 1 species
GUGCUCACUUCGGCAGCACAUAUACUAAAAUUGGAACGAUACAGAAAAGAUUAGCAUGGCCCCUGCACAAGGAUGACAUGCAAAUUCAUGAAGUGUUCCAUAUUUUA